GCGUGCUUAGCUCAGUUGGAUAGAGCAACUGCCUUCUAAGCAGUGGGUCAGAGGUUCGAAUCCUCUAGCGCGUA
rnacentral:tRNA from 1 species